GCGAUGAAAUGUUUGGUACCCAUUACCGGACAGGGUAUGGGGACGACCGGUUUAAUUGUUAAAUUUGGGCUAUAAGGACAUCCCUAUGGAUCCCAGAGGUACCAGUAAGCAAAUAAGAAAGGAAAGUCAUUGUCUCUUACUCUCUUAUGCAUGAAAAUGAAAAGUGGUAUGGAUAUGGUCUUCAUAGGUUGUUUUAGAAAAACUCGUUACGGUAAGUAUUAGACAAACGUCUUUAAGUUAAAU
rnacentral:lncRNA from 1 species